rnacentral:rRNA from 1 species
UACGUAUGGUGCAAGCGUUGUCCGGAAUUAUUGGGCGUAAAGAGCUCGUAGGCGGUCUGUUGCGUCGGCUGUGAAAACCCGAGGCUCAACCUCGGGCCUGCAGCCGAUACGGGCAGACUAGAGUUCGGCAGGGGAGACUGGAAUUCCUGGUGUAGCGGUGAAAUGCGCAGAUAUCAGGAGGAACACCGGUGGCGAAGGCGGGUCUCUGGGCCGAUAUCGACGCUGAGGAGCGAAAGCGUGGGGAGCGAACAGG